AAAAAUAAAUGUACAACAAAAUAUAGAUGUAAAUCCAUAAUAUUAUAUGGACUUGAGUGUCUUCUUACAUGGUCAAUGAAACAGCUGCCUCCACCAACUAAGAUCACAGUAUGUGGGUCCAGACAGUUAAAAGCAUUACAUGAACAAAAAUUAAUUUUAACAUGCCACAAUUAUUUUGCUUUUAAGCCUACACCCUACUGAUGAGCACAAAUUAGCAAGCAAAUUCAGCAGAAGUUCCUCUAUUCCAUCUUGAUAAGACAGUUUCCAUGGAUGAUAAACUGUGAAUGAUCAUGCACAGUAUGUUUGAGACUCGAAGAACAGAAAAACCAUGUAAGAUGUGGAAGUGACCUAUAAUUACAUCUGGGAGCACUUCAACUUUAUAUAAAUUAGCAUAAUUUAUAUAUGGAAAACCAAUGUGAAUGAUCAUGCACCAUAUGUUUGAGACUCGAAGAACAGAAAAUCCAUGUAAGAUGUGGAAGUGACCUAUAAUUACAUCUGGGAGCACUUCAACUUUAACAGCAUUUGCCAAAAGUGAAAAUCUUAACUAGAGAAUACCAUAAGCACAAUACUUAAUGUCACGACCUAGGCCUGAUGGGUUAAUUGGUAUAUUAACUUCAUUUGGUCCAAACCACUGGUCAAAAUGCUUAGGCUGAAAAUGAUAGUAAUACCCUUAUCAGACUCUUAUAAGUCAAUCUUAGUGUUGCCCACUUUU
rnacentral:lncRNA from 1 species